AUAUUUCAGUUUAUUCAGUUUUUUUGGUCUGGUUUCCCUAUAUAACUGAAACCACAACCAAAAAUAGGUUUUUUGAAAUUGAGAAACCAAAACCGAACACUGAACACCAAAACUGAAAAACUGUGGCCAAAUGUUUAACAGUUCGGCUUCAGUCCAGUUUUUGGUUAUUCAGUAAUUUUUGUACACCCCUGAAUGACGGUGUCACAGAAGGGGGGGUCACCUAUUAGGAUGAUUGCUUGCGUGAGUUUCAGUGAUUUAUUGCUUUAUUGAAGUAUACAGGGAUCAUCAGCCCUUAAGGCACCCUCAUCUCUCUAAAGACUAAAGAAGAGGCAGAAUGAUAGAGUGGAGGUACUUGCAGGCAGACCCUGCCCAGUAGCUGUUCCUCCAGACAACUUGACCGACACUACUGGUAAUGCAGAUUACUAGGAUUGAGGAGAUCACUUUUGGCACUAAUUCCCCCAGUUGAGGGUGGGAAAAGAAAAAAAAAAUUUUGAGGAGCAACUUUUGAGAGGAGGUAGGAGCAGCGAAAAGGCGGGUUUUGCAUGUAACAAAGGCGACACUUUUGAUAGAGGCUUUGAGAUAAACAAUGCUAAUGAGAAUAGUGGUAGUAAAGAUGGUUGUAGCGAAAAGGUAAACAAGCAGGGAGAGGAUGAGCGUGAUGCCUUUUCACGUCAGUUAUCAAGAGGUUGGGGGUCCUUGGUUCCUUUAGGACUCUGAGGGUGAGUUGUGGGUUGGUGCUACAUUGCAUGGCAAUAGUCUUGUUUCAGCCCUCUAGGGUGGCAUUGGAAGAGUAGUCUGGCUGUUAAGGACUCCUUAGCCCAUGUCUUUGCUUCAGUUAAGAAUCUGUGUUCCAGACUAUAGAAAUCUGUGCAUUUCUGGCUUAAGGAUGGGAGAAGAUUUGAUUCCCAUUGGGUCUCAACCAAUGAGAAUGACAUAGAUUGUUGACUGAUUCAAUAGGGUGGUGACACAUGGUGAAGAUGAUAGAUGAAAAGGGACACAAAUGCACAAAUGACAAAUGUAGGACACUUGAGCUGCCUAAGAGAGUCAGGACUCUCUUUAUGAAUGCUGAUUCGUGCCUGCCAAGCUGAGACUAUGUAGAAUAUCCCAUAAAGAGAUUGGACCCUUCCAAAUGUUUCAGCGUCCAGUCCUAGGGGUGCGUGCUGCAGGUCUGACCUGGUGCAAAUGUGUAAACAUAAUAUAGUUACAUUAGGUCAUAAUUGUGUGUCCUACGUGGGACAAUUUUAUAAUCAGUGGCAAGAUAGUAAUUUUCUUUUUUGCAUUUU